GGGGAUAUAGUGUAACGGUUACCACGCUGCACUGUCUAUGCAGUAAUACGGGUUCAAAUCCCGUUAUCCUCG
rnacentral:tRNA from 1 species